UCAUUAAAUCAGUUAUAGUUUAUUUGAUGGUGUUUACUACGUGGAUAACCGUGGUAAUUCUAGAGCUAAUACAUGCAAAAGGUCCCGACUUUUUGGAAGGGACGUAUUUAUUAGAUCCAAAACCAAUGCGGGUGUUGCUGCCUCGGUAGUGCCCCGGUACCUUGGUGAUUCAUAGUAACUGUUCGAAUCGCUUGGCCCUCGUGCCGGCGAUGGUUCAUUCAAGUUUCUGCCCUAUCAACUUUCGAUGGUAGGGUAUUGGCCUACCAUGGUUGCAACGGGUGACGGAGAAUUAGGGUUCGAUUCCGGAGAGGGAGCCUGAGAAACGGCUACCACAUCCAAGGAAGGCAGCAGGCGCGCAAAUUACCCAAUCCCGACUCGGGGAGGUAGUGACAAUAAAUAACAA
rnacentral:rRNA from 10 species